rnacentral:lncRNA from 1 species
GGGGUUUCAGAGCUUCCUGCUAUGCCUCUGGGCACCCUAGUGUUGGUGUAUAAAUGCGCAGAGCUUGUCCCCUGAAGUUUCCAUGGGGUCAACAUGAGGUUUAUUAUUUUUUUUUUAUGUGAGUUCAAGCAGCAUUGAGCAGAUUAGAACCAGUUCCUGGAAGACCAUCUCAUAGAGAGUUGUGGCUUAGCUCUUAAGGGACUCUGUGCUAUGAGUCUUGCUACUGAAUAGUUUGAAACAAAAAUAGAUCAAGGAGCUGGAGAAAGUCUCCUGCUGUCUUUGCCCCGGCUCCCCAUCCCUGCUCAUUCUGGUCUGUGCCAGCACACCCUCGCUGCCUGCACUUGUCAUGCUCUGGCUGGUGGUGGACUCCCAAGGUGCGGGCAUAGUCCUUGUUCCCUUUGUGACUCCCUUGAGCCCUAUGGUUGAAUGGAUGAUUUUUUUGCAUACAUAAUUAAAUAAGCAAAUCUCUAAGAAUACCAAAAGGAGAAAAAAUGAGGGUGUUUCUCCUUCCUCCCUUCCUGAAAAGCCCUCUACCCAUGCACCGGAUGGGCUGGAUAGCUACACCUCCCCCUCUAAGCCUGAUUCAGCAGUGGCUUUUAUAAAACUUUUCUGGUAUGUGAGAUGUUUCCCUAAAACAAAGCAGUAACCAAUGAUCUUUUCUUUCUUUUUAAAGUCUCCAUUUUAUUCUGGUAUUUUCUUUCUAAUGAGAGGUAGUGGAAUCAUUCAUUCCAUACUGUACCUGUGGAAGAAUGCUCUGGGGUAUAGGAAUGCUUUGUGGAAGGCAGAAGGUUCCAAACAAACUGGAAAAAAUGCUUGAGAAAAUGUUACCCAUGAUGAACCACCUGUCCACCCUCAUCAACCAAAGCCAGUUCAGCUCCCAGGCAGUUUUCUUGAAAACUUGCUUAGCCUGCAACUUCUGCAUUGGACUCCUGGCAGUGCUUGGAGCAAAGGGCAAUGGCGACUGCACACCAGGAAACUGGUAA